rnacentral:rRNA from 1 species
AGAGUUUGAUCCUGGCUCAGGAUGAACGCUAGCUACAGGCUUAACACAUGCAAGUCGAGGGGCAUCAGUUUGGUUUGCUUGCAAACCAAAGCUGGCGACCGGCGCACGGGUGAGUAACACGUAUCCAACCUGCCUCAUACUCGGGGAUAGCCUUUCGAAAGAAAGAUUAAUAUCCGAUAGCAUAUAUUUCCCGCAUGGGUUUUAUAUUAAAGAAAUUCGGUAUGAGAUGGGGAUGCGUUCCAUUAGUUUGUUGGGGGGGUAACGGCCCACCAAGACUACGAUGGAUAGGGGUUCUGAGAGGAAGGUCCCCCACAUUGGAACUGAGACACGGUCCAAACUCCUACGGGAGGCAGCAGUGAGGAAUAUUGGUCAAUGGGCGAGAGCCUGAACCAGCCAAGUAGCGUGAAGGAUGACUGCCCUAUGGGUUGUAAACUUCUUUUAUAAAGGAAUAAAGUCGGGUAUGUAUACCCGUUUGCAUGUACUUUAUGAAUAAGGAUCGGCUAACUCCGUGCCAGCAGCCGCGGUAAUACGGAGGAUCCGAGCGUUAUCCGGAUUUAUUGGGUUUAAAGGGAGCGUAGAUGGAUGUUUAAGUCAGUUGUGAAAGUUUGCGGCUCAACCGUAAAAUUGCAGUUGAUACUGGAUAUCUUGAGUGCAGUUGAGGCAGGCGGAAUUCGUGGUGUAGCGGUGAAAUGCUUAGAUAUCACGAAGAACUCCGAUUGCGAAGGCAGCCUGCUAAGCUGCAACUGACAUUGAGGCUCGAAAGUGUGGGUAUCAAACAGGAUUAGAUACCCUGGUAGUCCACACGGUAAACGAUGAAUACUCGCUGUUUGCGAUAUACUGCAAGCGGCCAAGCGAAAGCGUUAAGUAUUCCACCUGGGGAGUACGCCGGCAACGGU